CCUAAUUACCUCCUACCGAUUUCUUAAACACCGGAAAAAUAUAUUAGUCGAUCAAGAUACUCACCAAUAUUUCAAGAGAAUAUACUUUUCUAUUGGUGAGUAUCUUGAUCGACUAAUAUAUUUUUCCGGUGUUUAAGAAAUCGGUAGGAGGUAAUUAGGC
rnacentral:pre_miRNA from 1 species